GGAGGAAAAGAAACCAACAGGGAUUGCCUCAGUAACGGCGAGUGAAGCGGCAACAGCUCAAAUUUGAAAUCUGGAGCCUUCGGCUUCCGAGUUGUAAUUUGAAGAGGAUGUUUCGGUGCGACCUGGGCCUAAGUUCCUUGGAACAGGACGUCAUGGAGGGUGAGAAUCCCGUACAUGGCUGCAGGUUUGCUUCUAUGUGAAACUCCUUCGAAGAGUCGAGUUGUUUGGGAAUGCAGCUCAAAAUGGGUGGUAAAUUUCAUCUAAAGCUAAAUAUUGGCGGGAGACCGAUAGCGCACAAGUAGAGUGAUCGAAAGAUGAAAAGCACUUUGAAAAGAGAGUUAAACAGUACGUGAAAUUGUUGAAAGGGAAGCGCUUGCAAUCAGACUCGCCUUCAGUUGAUCAGCCUUCCUUCUGGUUGGUGCACUCUGCUGUUGGCGGGCCAGCAUCAGUUGGGGCGGUGGGAUAAAGGCGGCAGGAAUGUGGCUCGCUUCGGUGAGUGUUAUAGCCUGCUGUGUCAUGCCACCAGUCCCGACUGAGGUCCGCGGUUCGCCUAGGAUGCUGGCUUAAUGGUUGUAAGCGACCCGUCUUGAAACACGGACCAAGGAGUCUAACAUCUAUGCGAGUCUUUGGGUGUAAAACCCAUGGGCGAAAUGAAAGUGAACGGAGGUGGGAGUCCUCGGAUGCACCAUCGACCGAUCCUGAUGUUCUCGGAUGGAUUUGAGUAUGAGCAUAGCUGUUGGGACCCGAAAGAUGGUGAACUAUGCCUGAAUAGGGUGAAGCCAGAGGAAACUCUGGUGGAGGCUCGCAGCGGUUCUGACGUGCAAAUCGAUCGUCAAAUUUGGGUAUAGGGGCGAAAGACUAAUCGAACCAUCUAGUAGCUGGUUCCUGCCGAA
rnacentral:rRNA from 1 species